CCCUUAGAUGUUCUGGGCCGCACGCGUGCUACACUGAGUGGAUCAGCGGGUCAGGUUGCGCGAAAGCGUUUCCUAAUCUUUAAAUCCGCUCGUGAUGGGGAUUGACGGUUGCAAUUUUCUGUCAUGAACGAGGGAUACCUUGUAAGCGCGGGUCAUCAUCCCGCGCUGAAUACGUCCCUGCCCUUUGUACACACCGCCCGUCGCUCCUACCGAUUGAGCGGUCCGGUGAGGCUUUGGGAUCUGAGCGGAAAGAGCGUUUCGCUGUUUCUGCUCGGAAAACUCAGUCGAACCUUAUCAUUUAGAGGAAGGAGAAGUCGUAACA
rnacentral:rRNA from 1 species